AGAGUGAACGCUGGCGGCAGGCCUAAUACAUGCAAGUCGAACGGCAGCACGGCAGAGCUUGCUCUGUGGGUGGCGAGUGGCGGACGGGUGAGGAAUACAUGGGAAUCUGCCCAGUCGUGGGGGAUAACGUAGGGAAACUUACGCUAAUACCGCAUGCGCCCUUCGGGGGAAAGCCGGGGACCUUCGGGCCUGGCGCGAUUGGAUGAGCCCAUGUCGGAUUAGCUAGUUGGCGGGGUAACGCCCACCAAGGCGACGAUCCGUAGCUGGUCUGAGAGGAUGAUCAGCCACACUGGAACUGAGACACGGUCCAGACUCCUACGGGAGCAGCAGUAGAGAAUAUGGACAAUGGGCGCAAGCCUGAUCCAGCCAUGCCGCGUGAGUGAAGAAGGCCUUCGGUGUAAAGCUCUUUGUCGAAAGAAAAGCUUACGGUCAACUACCCGGAGUCCGUCGACGGUACCGGUAAGAAAUAAGACAACCGGACUAACUUACGUCGCCGAGCACGACCG
rnacentral:rRNA from 1 species